rnacentral:rRNA from 1 species
AAAGCACUUUGGAAAGAGAGUGAAACAGUACGUGAAAUUGUUGAAAGGGAAACGCUUGAAGUCAGUCACGCCCUUUGGGAUUCAGCCUUGCCUCUCUGCUCGGUUUACUUCCCGUUGGNUGGGUCAACAUCAGUUUCAGUCGGAGGAGAAAGACUUGGGGAAGGUAGCAGCAUUCGUGCUGUGUUAUAGACCCUUGUUGUAUACUUCGAUUGGGACUGAGGACCGCAGCACGCCUUUGGCCGGGGUUUACCCACGUACGUGCUUAGGAUGUUGGCAUAAUGGCUUUAAGCGACCCGUCUUGAAACACGGACCAAGGAGUCUAACAUCUGCGCGAGUGUUUGGGUGUUAAACUCGGACGCGAAAUGAAAGUGAAAAGUUGGGAACACAUAUGUGUGCACCGACGCCCGGAGCUGACCUUCUGUGACGCAUCUGCGGUAGAGCGUAUUUGUUGGGACCCGAAAGAUGGUGAACUAUGCCUGAAUAGGGUGAAGCCAGAGGAAACUCUGGUGGAGGCUCGUAGCGAUUCUGACGUGCAAAUCGAUCGUCAAA